UUCAUAGAGAAAUAAAUACUCAGUUCACUCUUCUGGUGACUGUGACGGAUGUGCUUAAUCUGCCGUUUGUAACAUUCUGUUGACUCAGGAAACCUGUAAUUUGUUGCUUGCAGGUGCAAUUUAGCACAGUUCUAAGGUAAAUUUGUGUCGAAACCCUCUUAGCGUAAUGCUAGCGUUUCCGCACACAUCUGGCGUGAAAUACUUAUAUUGCAGAAAAUUUGGUUGUGUUGCUAGCUGGCUGUUACAUGCCAUAAAACCCUGUCGGCGCUCCCCACACAUUAACUCUGUUACUGCAAGGGCUCUGUGUCAUGACCGGCUCUGGCUGCUGUUCUCCACUUUGACCUUCAGUGUGACACUUUGGCAAGCGAAUCUAAUGACCGCCAUCACUUUAGCUGUCAGCUGUUGACGCGUGGUCAAGGGAAUUAAUGGCCGCUGUUGGCAUCUUGACGACAGAUAGGUUGCGGGUGUGGGGUUUCCGUCAUUUCGCUAUUUGCGGUGGCAUUAAACGGAGCAGGGUUCGGCUAACAUUCCCACACAAAAAACAAAGUCCGUCAGCAGCUCAGGCAGAAAGCUACGUUCUGCUCAUGCUUGGAAAAACCUUUGAAGGACGUAUCUUUUGUUGAGUGCCGAGCAGAGACUCCUUCCUUUGAUGGUAUCAGGGAAAUCAGGGAUGUUUUCCAGCUGUCAGCACCCAUUUUGAGACAUUUUAGAGCAGAUCAAUCCAAAAUCUUAUUCCAUGAAGCUGUCAAGACCGGCAGAUGGUACUGAAAUCCGGCAGCAAGAAAGCUCACCCUAAGCCAGCAGAGCUUGUAAUGACAGGGAUGCAAAUGGAGUCUUUGUCCAAGCAAGGGCCAUCCGCUGAAGAAGAAUCCAUACAGUGACGCUUAAGACCCGGAAGACUGAAGAGAUUCAAAGGAGUGCUCUAAUUUGAUGACACCCCCUCCCCAGGCUGAAGCAGCUCCUAUUGUCCUGAGCUUUUCAUACGUGCUUCUGAAGGGAAGCUCUCAGCUGAGAAGAUGGUUUUCAGUUUCUUCUGAAAUAGCAGCAGCUAUUCACUGCUCCCAUCUGGUGUCCUGAGUGAAAUUGAAUGUAUUAUUAUUAACACAGUAGUGUCAUACCUUUAAAAUAGGAAAACCUUAUGGUUAGCCAUUAUAUUGCAUUCGUUUUGCAAACACUUUUAUCCAAAGCGACAUACAAAUGAGAACGCAGGGUCAGCCAGCCCCUUGACCGGUUGGAUUUAAGGGCUCUUUCUCAAGAUCCCAAUGGUGAAUUUACUUUGCCAGCUACAUGAUUUGAGCCAGCAACCUUCCAAUUAGAGGUGCAGAGUCCUGACUUGCACACCUUCAGCACUGACUGAAGCUCACUCAGUGCCAUAAAAAUAAUCUGAUCAUUACGAUUCAAUGAACGCUAUAAAUUUGAACUAAACGGCAACUUUCACUAAAUGCUAUCCGGACUUUCAAUCCGCUUGUUAAGUCUGACGUAACACAUGGUGUAAAGCUGAUUCUGGGGGGCAAACUAACCGUAAUGGGGAACCGGUAUCAUUAUUCAUUGUUUAAUCAUUUAGGGGGAAAGUGGGGUUAAAUUCCUGUAAUUCAAGUUUAAAAAUGAAAAAAACUGAUGAAGUAGGUGCUAAGCUGCGUUAUUUCAAACAGAGUGGUGAGUGUAGGUCUCCUCCCAGGAGGAAUCC